rnacentral:rRNA from 13 species
UUUGGUGGCGAUAGCGAAGAGGUCACACCCGUUCCCAUGCCGAACACGGAAGUUAAGCUCUUCAGCGCCGAUGGUAGUCGGGGGGUUCCCCCUGUGAGAGUAGGACGCCGCCAAGC